UGGGGAAUAUUGCACAAUGGGCGCAAGCCUGAUGCAGCCAUGCCGCGUGUAUGAAGAAGGCCUUCGGGUUGUGAAGUACUUUCAGCGGGGAGGAAGGUGUUGAGGUUAAUAACCUCAGCAAUUGACGUUACCCGCAGAAGAAGCACCGGCUAACUCCGUGCCAGCAGCCGCGGUAAUACGGAGGGUGCAAGCGUUAAUCGGAAUUACUGGGCGUAAAGCGCACGCAGGCGGUCUGUCAAGUCGGAUGUGAAAUCCCCGGGCUCAACCUGGGAACUGCAUUCGAAACUGGCAGGCUAGAGUCUUGUAGAGGGGGGUAGAAUUCCAGGUGUAGCGGUGAAAUGCGUAGAGAUCUGGAGGAAUACCGGUGGCGAAGGCGGCCCCCUGGACAAAGACUGACGCUCAGGUGCGAAAGCGUGGGGAGCAAACA
rnacentral:rRNA from 1 species